ensembl:lncRNA
GGUGGUGGUAGUGGUGGUAGUUUUGGUGAUGUAGAUGGUGGUGGUGCUGGUGGUGGUGGUAGUUGUGGUGAUGUAGAUGGUGGUGGUGUUGGUGGUGGUGGUGGUGGUAGUUGUGGUGAUGUAGAUGGUGGUGGUGUUGGUGGUGGUAGUUGUGGUGAUGUAGAUGGUGGUGGUGGUGGUGGUGGUGGUAGUUUAGGUGAUGUAGAUGGUGGUGGUGUUGGUGGUGGUGGUAGUUUAGGUGAUGUAGAUGGUGGUGGUGUUGGUGUUGGUGGUAGUUGUGGUGAUGUAGAUGGUGGUGGUGUUGGUGGUGGUGGUAGUUGUGGUGAUGUAGAUGGUGGUUGUGUUGGUGUUGUUGGCAGUUGUGGUGAUGUAGAUGGUUGUGGU